GGCCCUAUAGCUCAGCGGUAGAGCGUUGGCUUCCAGAUCUUCUUUCAGGAAUAUUCCAAAGGUCAUCCGUUCAAAUCGGGUUGGGGUCA
rnacentral:tRNA from 1 species